UACGGAGGGAGGCAAGCGUUGUCCGGAUUUACUGGGCGUAAAGAGCGUGUAGGCGGCCAAACAGGUCCGUUGUGAAAACUGGAGGCUUAACCUCCAGACGUCGACGGAAACCGUGUGGCUAGAGUCCGGAAGAGGAGAGUGGAAUUCCUGGUGUAGCGGUGAAAUGCGCAGAUAUCAGGAAGAACACCAAUGGCGAAGGCAGCUCUCUGGGACGGUACUGACGCUGAGACGCGAAAGCGUGGGGAGCGAACAGG
rnacentral:rRNA from 1 species